rnacentral:rRNA from 1 species
UACGUAGGAUGCAAGCGUUGUCCGGAAUUAUUGGGCGUAAAGCGAACGUAGGCGGCUUCUUAAGUUUGGUCUUAAAGACCGGGGCUCAACCCCGGGAAUGGACUGAAUACUGGGAGGCUGGAGGAUGUCAGAGGAAAGUGGAAUUCCCAGUGUAGCGGUGAAAUGCGUAGAUAUUGGGAGGAACACCAGUGGCGAAAGCGACUCACUGGCCCGGUACUGACGCUGAGGUGCGAAAGCGUGGGGAGCAAACAGG